UUCUGGUUGAUCCCGCCCGAGGUCAUUGCUAUCGGGGUCCGAUUUAGCCAUGCUAGUUGCACGGGUUAAGACCCGUGGCGAAUAGCUCAGUAACACGUAGAUAAACUACCCUAUGGACUGUGAUAACCUCGGAAAACUGAGGGUAAUAACAGAUAGUACUCCUACGCUGGAAUGCAGUGAGUACGAAAUGCUCCGGUGCCAUAGGAUGUGACUGCGGCCGAUUAGGUAGACGGUGGGGUAACGGCCCACCGUGCCGAUAAUCGGUACGGGUGGUGAGAGCCAGAGCCCGGAGAUGGAAUCUGAGACAAGAUUCCAGGCCCUACGGGGCGCAGCAGGCGCGAAAACUUUACAAUGCGCGAAAGCGCGAUAAGGGGACCCCGAGUGCGAGGGCAUAACGUCCUCGCUUUUGUAUAUCGUAAGAAGAUACACGAAUAAGGGCUGGGCAAGACCGGUGCCAGCCGCCGCGGUAAUACCGGCAGCUCGAGUGAUGAUCACUAUUAUUGGGCCUAAAGCGUCCGUAGCCGGUUGAACAAGUCUUUCGGCAAAUCCACUCGCUCAACGAGUGGGCUCUCGAGGGAAACUGUUCGACUUGGGGCCGGGAGAUCUGAGGGGUACGUCUAGGGUAGGAGUGAAAUCCUGUAAUCCUAGACGGACCGCCGAUGGCGAAAGCACCUCAGAAGAACGGACCCGACGGUCAGGGACGAAAGCUAGGGUCUCGAACCGGAUUAGAUACCCGGGUAGUCCUAGCCGUAAACGAUGCUCGCUAGGUGUUGCGAAAGCUACGUGCUUUUGCUGUGCCGUAGGGAAGCCGUGAAGCGAGCCGCCUGGGAAGUACGUCCGCAAGGAUGAAACUUAAAGGAAUUGGCGGGGGAGCACUACAACCGGAGGAGCCUGCGGUUUAAUUGG
rnacentral:rRNA from 1 species